UCGUCCCUCCGAUAAUACAUAAAACUGCCAAAAAAAAGCGGGAGUAGAUAGACUACGUAUUUCGCAAUUAUUUCUGCAUAUGAUUAGCGAAUUAUAUAUAUUUGGUUAUAGGCUUCAACGCACAAGCUUCAAGGUUAUUAAGUCAUUAAGACCAAAUAGACUAAAUAGGCUUAUAGCUUCCGUAACACCAAACAGUUCUAGCUGAGGUUUUAAUAAUUUGGCUCUAAAUAAGUUUAACAUUAUACAUAUUUGUAGUGGUAUAUGACAGCCGAGUAUAACCAAACACUACGAAAUUCGUUCAGUAUAAAUGUAGGCUUAUUUUAAUGCUAAGGGAAUAUGUUUUUCAAGUUAAUGCCGACAGAAACCGAGGAAAUCUAUUAAGACUGACCAUCAGCAUGGUAGUGUAUUUGGGGUGGGCACUGCACCACAUUUUUCACUUAGAGCCAAAUUUACCGAGAAAAAACUGAAAUUUCAAAACUCUCUUUUUUUGUAAAACACCCUGGGAUCUACCUACAUUGAUUUAGGUUAGAUAAAACUAAAUAUCAGUAACCGAAUUCAUGUAUUUGGUAAGUGUUGGUACCGCCAUCCCCACUUCCGUACCUUCAGUCUGCUCGGUGGUGUUACGGUCCGGUGCUUAAGCGCAAUGACCUGACGGUGGAUGGCGUGCUCUGCCGCAAACGGCCUGGCGCCUGGACAUGCGCUGGCCGGACUGCUGCGCUCAGAAGUCGCGUUGGAGCUCCUGACUCCUGACAAGGAACAACUGGUGGAAGAACUUCUGCGGGCUCCCAAUACGGAUAAGUACAUCAGGGUGCUGGGAGAGUCACUCAGAUCUCCAGAUUAAAGGUAAGGCAGUGAUCAAGAGGUGAGUACCUCUAAUUCUCAGGAAUAUUAACACGAUAAUUAACAUGAAUAAGCUGAACUGUAAGAAUAAGUUCAAUGUAACCUUAUUUCUGCAAUUCUGAAAUGGGAAUAUGUGUCCUUAUGCUCUUUGCAUAUUAAGAUUUCCAUGCUCUGAUUGUUAAGGACUUUGAUAAGUGCAAAGUCAUAUUAAUGAAAUGUCAAAUUUUAAUAUCAGAGGUCACCCUUACUAUCCACCCCCACUAUGCUUGCCAAAUUUAAGGAUUCUGCAAACUUAAAGCAAAACUAGCACGUAUGCUUGCAGUAUUUUUCCAUCUGAGAAUGAGAAUUUAUUAUUUUUAUAAUGGUUUGAAGUAUGUUUUUUUUUAACAUGAUGAUAUUGAAAAGUUAUAUACCAAUAUAAAAUCACAAAAUCUAUGAUUCAUACUUAUUGUGUUACUGUGUGUAAACUGCCACUUAAAUUUUGAGAAUAACAGUGUUAUUGUCCAAGACUGCUAUAUUGACUCACUACGGCAGACCAUUUUUUUGCCA